CCCGGGGCUCCUGCAUUUCAGACAGACGCUUUACCAUCUGAGCCACCAGGGAAGCUACCUUUGAGAACAUCACAUCAAGAGAGUCAGAUAAGCAAAUGCAUCAGGAAAGAAUUUCUUGAUCUUAGUGUUUGUGGAGCCCAAAAAGGGUACAGAUUCCCUGGAGGAAUUUUUACACCAUGAAGGAUAUGCUUGAGCCAGGACCCAGGGAGAAUGAUAUUAAAGAGAUGAUGAAGAAAGCUUCAUGACUUCCUCUUAGGGAAAAGCCCAAUUCUAGUGGCCAGAGCAGUAGCAGCGAGAGGACUGGACAUUUUCAAUGGGAAACAAGUUAUCAAUUUUGAUAUUCAGGAUCGUAUCGCUCUUCAUCCUCCUCACUGCGCCAGUUGUCUGGCUCUUCACACUGUUUGCACUGCUCGCUGGUGUGCAAGGUGUGAGCUGAGAGGCCGGAGGAGGACUCAAGUAGCUGUGGGAACGGCAGACACAUUUAUUCUCUCCCGGCUGGUGCAGCAGCCGGAACAGCAUCCUCAUCUGUUUGAUGCGGCAGCUGUUAGCAGUAUACAUGCUGUAUUCUCUCCUCUUGUGGCUGACCCAGCAGACACAGCUGUGAUGCAGCAGAAAGGCCACCACUUUCAGGUGGGGGCCGUAUAUCUGGACAGCAUAAAGUAGCUCGUGACCAAGGAACAUAAGGUCACAAGAGGAGAUGAAAGGAGCAAUUAGCAGCCUUGUUUAGAGGACCUACAGAAUGUAAAAUAGCCAAGAGCGAUCCCUAACAUAAGCUGUGGACUCUGGACGAUAAUCAUGAGUCUGUGUGGAUUUACUGAUUUUAUCAAAUGUACCACUCUGGUGGAAGAUGCUGAUAACAGAAGAGGCUUUAAAUGUGUAUUGCUGCUCUUAUUUCCUCUGCCUCUGAACACAAAACAAGGAUGAGA